rnacentral:rRNA from 1 species
UUUAUCGGAGAGUUUGAUCCUGGCUCAGGAUGAACGCUGGCGGCGUGCCUAAUACAUGCAAGUCGAGCGAAUGGAUUGAGAGCUUGCUCUCAAGAAGUUAGCGGCGGACGGGUGAGUAACACGUGGGUAACCUGCCCAUAAGACUGGGAUAACUCCGGGAAACCGGGGCUAAUACCGGAUAACAUUUUGAACUGCAUGGUUCGAAAUUGAAAGGCGGCUUCGGCUGUCACUUAUGGAUGGACCCGCGUCGCAUUAGCUAGUUGGUGAGGUAACGGCUCACCAAGGCAACGAUGCGUAGCCGACCUGAGAGGGUGAUCGGCCA